rnacentral:rRNA from 1 species
GAUGAGCGCUGGCGGCGUGCUUAACACAUGCAAGUCGAACGAAGCAUUUAGAACGGAUUACUUCGGUUUGAAGUUCUUUAUGACUGAGUGGCGGACGGGUGAGUAACGCGUGGGUAACCUGCCUUGUACUGGGGGAUAGCAGCUGGAAACGGCUGGUAAUACCGCAUAAGCGCACAAUGUUGUAUGACAUGGUGUGAAAAACUCCGGUGGUAUAAGAUGGACCCGCGUCUGGUUAGCUAGUUGGUGAGAUAACAGCCCACCAAGGCGACGAUCAGUAGCCGACCUGAGAGGGUGACCGGCCACAUUGGGACUGAGACACGGCCCAGACUCCUACGGGAGGCAGCAGUGGGGAAUAUUGCACAAUGGAGGAAACUCUGAUGCAGCGACGCCGCGUGAGUGAAGAAGUAAUUCGUUAUGUAAAGCUCUAUCAGCAGGGAAGAUAGUGACGGUACCUGACUAAGAAGCUCCGGCUAAAUACGUGCCAGCCGCCGCCGUAA